rnacentral:rRNA from 1 species
GACGAACGCUGGCGGCGUGCCUAAUACAUGCAAGUAGAACGCUGAAGGAGGAGCUUGCUUCUCUGGAUGAGUUGCGAACGGGUGAGUAACGCGUAGGUAACCUGCCUGGUAGCGGGGGAUAACUAUUGGAAACGAUAGCUAAUACCGCAUAAGAGUAGAUGUUGCAUGACAUUUGCUUAAAAGGUGCAAUUGCAUCACUACCAGAUGGACCUGCGUUGUAUUAGCUAGUUGUUGGGGUAACGGCUCACCAAGGCGACGAUACAUAGCCGACCUGAGAGGGUGAUCGGCCACACUGGGACUGAGACACGGCCCAGACUCCUACGGGAGGCAGCAGUAGGGAAUCGUCGGCAAUGGACGGAAGUCUGACCGAGCAACGCCGCGUGAGUGAAGAAGGUUUUCGGAUCGUAAAGCUCUGUUGUAAGAGAAGAACGAGUGUGAGAGUGGAAAGUUCACACUGUGACGGUAUCUUACCAGAAAGCGACGGCUAACUACGUG